UAUGAGUGGGAUAUUACGAAUAAUAAUUUUAAAUUCAAAGAAUUUGGCGGUGCUUUAUUUAACCAGGGGAACCUGUCUCAUAACUCGAUAGUCCACGCUGCCCCAGCCUCCUAUUGAUUAUCAGCCUGUAUACUGCCGUCGUAAGUAUACCUCUAAAAGAAAGUAUACCACUAUAAAUUAAAACUACACAUUUAUAUACGUCAGGUCGAAGUGCAGCUAAUGAGGGGGUGAGGAUGGGUUACAACCUAAAAAAGAUAUGGACUGUGGUACUAAAAACCGCAUAAAAUUGGACUUGGCUGUAAUUAUAUCUUAAUGAUAUAAUAAACAACAAUCUAAAGCAUGUACACAUCGCCCG
rnacentral:rRNA from 1 species